GUGGGAGCGGCAGACGGGUGAGUAAUACGUUGGAACCUGCCCCAAAGUCAGGGAUAACCAGUAGAAAUAUUGGCUAAUACCGGAUAGUCACGAAAGUGUAAAGCUUUUGCGCUUUGGGAGGGGCCUGCGGUCUAUCAGCUUGUUGGUAAGGUAAUGGCUUACCAAGGCUAUGACGGAUAGCUGGUUUGAGAGAAUGAUCAGCCACAAUGGAACUGAGACACGGUCCAUACUCCUACGGGAGGCAGCAGUGAGGAAUCUUCCGCAAUGGGCGAAAGCCUGACGGAGCAACACCGCGUGAAGGAUGAAGGUCGUAAGAUUGUAAACUUCUUUUCUGAGGGAAGAAUUCUGACGGUACCUCAGGAAUAAGCAUCGGCUAACUACGUGCCAGCAGCCGCGGUAAGACGUAGGAUGCGAGCGUUAUCCGGAUUUAUUGGGCGUAAAGCGCAUGCAGGUGGCUAGGUAAGUCGGGUGUGAAAGCCCCGGACUUAAUCCGGGGAGGUCAUUCGAUACUGCUUGGCUUGAGAGCGGGAGAGGGAAGUGGAAUUCUCGGUGUAGUGGUGAUAUGCGUAGAUAUCGAGAGGAACACCAGUGGCGAAGGCGGCUUCCUGGCCCGCAUCUGACACUAAGAUGCGAAAGCGUGGGUAGCAAACGGACUUAGAUACUCCGGUAGUCCACGCUGUAAACGAUGGGUACUAGGUGUAAGGGGGUGUUAAACUCUCUGUGCCAUAGUUAACGCACUAAGUACCCCGNCUGGGGACUACGGUCGCAAGGCUAAAACUCAAAGGAAUUGACGGGGGCCCGCACAAGCAGCGGAGCGUGUGGUUCAAUUCGAAGAUACCCGAAGAACUUUACCUGGG
rnacentral:rRNA from 1 species